rnacentral:rRNA from 1 species
AAGCUCGUAGUUGAAUUUCGGGUUCUACCGUUGGUCGGGCAAUAGUCUGUACUGGCGUGUAGAAUUUCUACCUUCUGGGGAACUAUCAUGUUAUUUAUUUAGCGUGGUAGGAAACCAGGACCUUUACCUUGAAAAAAUUAGAGUGUUCAAAGCAGGCUUACGUCUGAAUACAUUAGCAUGGAAUAAUAAAUGGACGGUGGUCCUGUCUUGUUGGUUUCNGAAUCACCGUAAUGAUUAAUAGGGAUUAGGUUGGG